GUGAGGAGCGGACUUCCGGGGCCGGCGGGCGGGCGGGCGGGGAGACCGGGAGGCUGGGAUCCCGGCGGGAGGCCGCCCAGGCCCCGCUCGGCGCCGGUGCUGAGGGUCGGGAAGGCUCCUGGAGUGGCGGCCGUCAAGGCCGGGCCGGGGCGCUGUUCGCGGCUGAGCCGAAUGCGGGGUUGUUUUCAGCCGUGUAACCUGUUGGCCAGGAACAGCCCUGCCAGCACAUCAGACUGAGAAAAAAGGACAGAGGGACAGUCAUGUCUAAUUCCACAGACGCCUGGGACGGCGGGCUGGGGAGGAAGAGGCGCUCGGCUGCCGGGCCCCGUGCUGGCUGUGUGGUGAGGCCCGACGGCAGACAGCGAGUCUGGGCUGCGUGCUUCCUGGGCGGCUGUGACAGACACAGAUUGCCGGGACUGCCCGAGACCUUGGUCAUUCUUUGACCACUGCUGUUGGAAUUUCACAUAAGUGGACGGAUACAGGAUCAACACUUUUGUGUCUGACUUCCUUUCGCCAGACAGAACGUUUUGGAAAUUCAGAUUGCUGCAUGUCUCCAUGGUUCAUUGUUUUUCUUGCUGGACGGUUUGGUAUUCCAUUGUAUAGGUACACUGUUUACUCCAUACACACACCUGUUGAUGGACAUUUCGGUGCCUUCCAGUUUUUGGCUAUUGUGAAUAAAACUGCUGUGAAUAUUCAUGUUUACCAAUCUUUGUAUGGACAUACACUUUAUUUCUCUUGGGUUGAGAUGACAGAAGUGAUGGUUGAAGUACGUACUUGUAUUUCACUCUAUACAAAAAGUGCCACAACUGUUUUCUAAAAUGGGAAGUCAUAUCACAUUCCCAGUUGUUCUGUGUCCUUUUGUCAUUCUUUGGAAGUUGAGCCCUUCUUGUGAGUGUUGAUGGCUUGUCGUGCCUUGAGUUGGCAUUUCCUAAUGAUGAAUGGUGUUGCACACCUUUUCAUUUGCCUGCUCAGCCAUUUGUAUAUCUUAUUUUGUGACGUGUCCAGAUCUUUUACCCAUGAAAAAUGGGUUGUCUCAUCAAGCUCUAAGAAUUCCUUAUAUGUUUAGGGUGCUAGUCCUUUGCCAGAUACAAGUCUCUGGCUUGGCUUUUAAUUUUGUCACCAGUGUCUUAAACAGACAGAUCCUUAUAAUUCUGAUGAAGUUCAGUUUGUCGUUUUUUCUUUAUGGUUUAUGCUUUCUUUAAUGGUCAAGAGGUCAGGGGUCAUUGUUUUCCCUGGAUAUCUGGGCAUUCCAACACCAUUUUGAAAGGCCACCCUCUCCCAUUGUGUUACUCCAUUGCUGACAGUAUGUGUGGGUGGACUUCUGGAUUCUCUAUUCGUUGAUCUUAUUGCUCAUAUCCUGCAGAUUUGAUUAUAUUAGCUUUAAAAUAAGUCUUGAGGUCAAGUAUAAGUAGUUUUCUAACUUGGUUUUUCUUUUUCAAAUCAUUUUGGC
ensembl:lncRNA